AAUGACACAAAAAUAAACAGACAUGCACACUCCUAAUGUAAGUGCAUGUCUAAUGGUGACUAUAACUGAUUAACUAAUGUGCCUGUCCAAACGCCUUCACAAGUCCAAGCCUAUGGUGCCCAUAAAUGAUUAACCAAUGUUCUUGUCCAAAGGCCUUCACAAGACCCAGAAUGACCAGGCCUGUGUUGAUCCAGCUUUGCACAAUCACAUGGAUUCUGCUUACAUUCUGCUUACGCAUGUCUAAUGGUAAACCCUAUAUUGAUUCUGCUUACUACUUCUAAGAAAACAGGAUAGGUACUGGAAAAUGUCCAAUAAACCACUGUGAAUUGAGCCACAUUUAUUGUGCCAGUCAACCUACUAUGUGUAUUGAAUACUAUUCCAGAGGAAAAACCAUACGACCUGGAUGUUUUGGAGCCUGAUAACUCUGAGGAGGACUUCGGGGAAAAAAGCACUUGUGUACUGAGUAGACUGAUAACCCAUUUCAUUGAUCCCCAAUCCUUAGUCUUCCUGAAGCAGGUGCCUUAGGAGAGCAGUUAUUGAGACUGUGUACUAUACAGUAUAAAGGUACCUGGAUCCGGCUGUUAAGGGAGCUCCCAAAUUAAGAGCGACAUGGGUCCAUGUAGAGUGAGCAUGGAGAGAGAUCCAGUCCAAACUUCUCUCAUGCUGCUGGGGUACUGGUAGGGAAAUGGACAAAGACAUAAUGACUGUAAAGGACAGUGGCGGCUCAGAUGAGAGACAUUAUCAAGGGCCAUCCACUUUGAGCAUGUGCCAUUAAAAGGAAAAACUGAAACACUAUCUGAAGAUGAACAUGAAACGGCAGGAAAGGAAGAAUGAGUGCCGUGAAGGGGGGUGGUCAAUUGUGCCCGUAAUUGAUUUAGGCUUGUCCGAAAUUGAUUAUUUGGGUUAAUCAGGUUGAUUGUGGAGGUCUGCAUACUGCGAAAUUUAUAGUAAUUUAGACCAAGAAUGCAUUGAGAUACCAAUCUGUCAUUACCACAACUGAUGAGAAAAGGGAGGGUCUUAAAGUGAUAGAACCAAUGUGAAGCACUAAGAAUUGUCAUUCUAAAUUUGGGUUAGAUAAUUAAUCAAUAGUUAUAAUUAUGAUAUGGAAAGGCAAGGCUUCAAAAGACAGAGCUAUGCCCUAAAAAUGUGAGGAGAGACACUAGAUUGUAGCUUGGGCUAACCUUGCCCCAAUCUCAUUCCUAGAAAGGUUGGUGUGAAACUGUUAUAACGUGUUUUCUUUCUCGUGAAAUAUUAUUAACAUGCUGUAAGGCGAUCUGUGCCUCUCUGGCUGAUAAGACUUCAGCAGCUAUCAUGUUUUCUACUCCUCCAGAGGAUGGUGAAACAGUAAGAUGCAAACUCUGGAUGAGCACCCAUUUCCCCCUGUAGAUACAGACGAUGAGGUUUUCAUAAUGAUUGAAGGUUUUCUUUUAACAAGUUGAGGGUAAGGUCAUCUAAACCCUUAACCUGUUUGCAUUAUGUGGAACACUGAGCUGAUGAGCCAGCACCAACCUUUUGAAGGUCUUAGUAGAAUUGUUAAACAACAGGGUUUUAUAUUUUGACUAGGUGGAUGUCCCAGGGACAGUUAGGACAUCCACAUAGGUCAAUGCAACCUGACUGUGGUAAGAAAUAUGGAGACAAUGGUUAACAUUGAGAUUUAUUCACCUCUGAAUCUACAGAUCCAUUGUGUAUGUGUGUGCAUUUUUGAUACUCACUCCCAUGAAUAAAGUAUUAUGAUUAUAGUAUUACCAUACUAAUUGGAUUGUACAACCCAGAAUGAAGGGUUUGAUAUGAAGUGUCUUUUUUUCUGUGUUGAUUUCCCUUAUUUUAAUAGAGUAUAGAAUAUUUUGAUAUAGAAGCUAAAAUCUAAAUGGUUACAUUAAAAUGUAAUGAUUAUCACACAAGUGAUAAAAGGAUGGAAUAUAAGGGGAAUUUUAAUGUUUGUGCUUUACUUAUAACUCAUUUCUUUCUUCUAUUCAUGUGCUGUUCCAAUAACCAAUUUCUGUGUUCAUGUAAGUGGUUGACUGUACAAAUCUUCACUAUCAGUAGCUGAAAUUUGGCAGUACGCCCAGACCGUGUUUUGAGAACGAACGAAAGAUAUCUCCGUUUCAAGGUCUCAGCUUAGAGAGAAGCCUCGUGAGGUAUUGGUCUGUCACAUGUUAUGAACCAGUAUUGGUCGGUCACAUGAAUUAAACGGUUAUGAUUAAUUAACUAUGCUAAAUCAUGCAAAUAUAACUUGUCUGUGUAUAGCCGUAUAUAAGACAACUGCUGGGUCUGCCCAGGC